UACGGGGGGGGCAAGCGUUGUUCGGAAUUACUGGGCGUAAAGGGCUCGUAGGCGGCCAACUAAGUCGGAUGUGAAAUCCCCAAGCUUAACUUGGGAACUGCAUCCGAUACUGGAUGGCUUGAAUCCGGGAGAGGGAUGCAGAAUUCCAGGUGUAGCGGUGAAAUGCGUAGAUAUCUGGAGGAAUACCGGUGGCGAAGGCGGCAUCCUGGACCGGCAUUGACGCUGAGGAGCGAAAGCUAGGGGAGCAGACGGG
rnacentral:rRNA from 1 species